rnacentral:rRNA from 1 species
AGCCAAGUCGUGAGGCGGAGCUAAUCCCUUAAAGCCAUUCUCAGUUCGGAUUGUAGGCUGAAACUCGCCUACAUGAAGCUGGAGUUACUAGUAAUCGCAGAUCAGAAUGCUGCGGUGAAUGCGUUCCCGGGUCUUGUACACACCGCCCGUCACACCACGGAAGUUGGGGGCGCCCGAAGCCACUUGGCUAACCCUUUUGGGAAGCGAGUGUCGAAGGUGAAAUCAAUAACUGGGGUGAAGUCGUAACAAGGUAGC